CCAGACUCCUACGGGAGGCAGCAGUGGGGGAUAUUGCACAAUGGGGGGAACCCUGAUGCAGCGACGCCGCGUGGGUGAAGGAGUAUUUCGGUAUGUAAAGCCCUAUCGGCAGGGAAGAAGCAAGACGGUACCUGACUAAGAAGCCCCGGCUAACUACGUGCCAGCAGCCGCGGUAAUACGUAGGGGGCGAGCGUUAUCCGGAUUCACUGGGUGUAAAGGGAGCGCAGGCGGGAAGCCAAGUCAGCUGUGAAAACUACGGGCUUAACUUGUAGACUGCAGUUGAAACUGGUUUUCUUGAGUGAAGUAGAGGUUGGCGGAAUUCCGAGUGUAGCGGUGAAAUGCGUAGAUAUUCGGAGGAACACCGGUGGCGAAGGCGGCCAACUGGGCUUUAACUGACGCUGAGGCUCGAAAGUGUGGGGAGCAAACAGGAUUAGAUACCCCUGUAC
rnacentral:rRNA from 1 species